GGGCCAGUAGCUCAGUGGUUAGAGCAGGGGACUCAUAAUCCCUUGGUCGUAGGUUCGAUCCCUACCUGGCCUA
rnacentral:tRNA from 2 species